AAACACAUUAAAUAAAUAAUAUUGUAAAAAGGGCAAGUAAAAUUACGCUUUCUUACUUUUUGUUGGGUUAAAAUACUCGGAAUUAAAUCAUCGUCACUGAAAAAUGUGCAGUGAAUAAUGAUCCAAGUUCAAGGCCACAUUUUUGUUCAGUAUAAAUGCAGUGUUAUUAUCAUUAUCUGAUACUUGUAUCGAAAAAUCGUUGAUUUUCACUUGUCCCUCGUUUUGUUUAUUGUGUGUGUUAAAUGUAUUGGUAGUUUUAGGUUGUAAUUCAGGAUUUCCCAUGGACGAGGAGGAAAUAAAUGAGGAAAUUUUGAGACUCCAUGGUUACACGUCUGAGGGGGACAGUGACGAUGGGGGAAAAACCGAACUCGAUGAAUUCUAUUAUUAUCACAAGCCCCAACCCAUUGACAUUGACCCCAACAGAGAUAAUAUAAUUAGAGCUGGGGUGACAAAAAUAUCCAAAAAUCAAAUGAGAAGAUUGAGGAAGAAAUUUGCCGAUGAUGAGAACAAAAAUAAAAAUGAUAAUUUAAAAGAAAGUUUGGAAAGGGAAGAUUGCGCUCCUAAUAGUUCUCAAUUACUGACAAAGAGGCAGAAAAAAAGAUUGAAAGGGAAGAAAAAAUUGACUAUUUCAGAAAAAGAAAAUCUAGUUAAUGAUAAAACUGAAUGUGGUGGCGCUCUUGAUUUACAAUUAGAAAAUCCUGGUUAUGAGGAAAAUGACGUUGGCGUUCCUGAUUCAGAAUUGUUGUCAAAAAGUGAGAAAGAGAGUUUGAAAAUAAAGAAAAAAAUAAUUAGUUCCGAGUCUUCGCAAAAUAUUCCAGAAGUAAAAAAAGAAGAGGAAAGUCCUGAUGAUGGAGCGCCGAAACGUAACGCCUCAGAAGAUUUCAACUUGUUGCAAGAGGAAAAUUUGGUUCAGUCUGAGCAAAACAAACCGACUAAGGGACGAAGUUUCGUUGAUUUGUUUUUAUUGUGGCUUCGAAACUCCUACGAAUUCCGAACUUUUGCCACAGUUUUAAUUAUUUUGGUUGUUUUAAAAAAAGUGCCUUAUUUUUACAAUUUCCUUAAACGGCUUUAGAAAAAAUACUGUAUGUUUGACUCAUUAAUAAAGAUAGUAGUACCAAAAAUUUGUUUUAUUAUUACCCAAAAUUUGAAACUGGCUCCAAAUAAUUAAGUCUCAGUGUUGCCAAUAAAAUAUUACAAUUAAGGCAACUAAAAAAUUAAAUUAAAUAAGGAAUAAACGACAUAAAACGACAGUACAAUACGUCUUAUUAAUUUUUUCCCCCGAAUCCAAACAACAAAAAAAUGAAACAUCGUAAACGGCGUUUGAAACCUCAAGGUCACACGUGUUAUCAUAGUUUUAUCAAAAAGUUGGUUAUUGAAAUUGCUCGGCGUGUUCAUUCAGUUAGUAAAUCAUUUGAUAACCACCAAACUGUCAAGGUUGUGUUUUAGGUUAUAAACCGGGGCUUCCCAUAAACAUGGGCGAGGACGAAAUAAACAUCGACAUUUUGCGACUUCAUGGUUACACGUCUGAGGGGGACAGUGAUGACGAUGAUGGGGGAAAAACCGAACUCGACGAUUUCUAUUAUUAUCACAAGCCACAACCCAUCGACAUAGACCCAAGCAGAGACAAGAUAAUUAAAGUUGGAGUAACGAAAAUAUCGAAAAACCAAUUGAGAAGAUUGAGGAAAAAAUUUGCUAAUGAUGGUGUGACCAAUCAAAGUGAAUUUGGGACUACUGAGACUGUUAAUUCGACUGAAGGUGGCAGUACUGAUUCACAACUAUUGACCAAAAGUCAGAAAAAACGACUAAGAAAGAAGAAGAAAAAAUUAACGACACAAAAUGCAGAAAAAGUGCAAAAAAACCCUGAUGAUGGAGCGACGAAACGAGACGUCCCCAAAGGUUGUUUCCUUAGUAUGUUAGAGUGUUCAACUUCUUGCCCUUACCUUAUCUAUUGUGAUUCUUCCAACUCGAGAAAGUUUCUCUUGUUUAGGCAAAUGUAUCUUAAUGGCGAUAUUCCCAAUAAUUUGAGAAUAAAAAACCGAAAAAAAAUGAGACAAAUGAAACAAUCAGUUUUAGAUAAUUAAAAUUAUUGAUACAAACAUUAAUUGCAGUAAAAAUAAAAUUGAUUGAAAUUUAUUAAAUUUCAGAUAUGGCUCAAUUUCAGAAGAAAGGGAGAAGUUCGGUUGAAUUGCCUCUUUUGUGGCUUCAAAAUUGUUGUGAUUUGAGGAGUGUUACUGUAAUUUUAAUUGUCAUUAUCUUGCAAAAAGUGCCUUAUCUUUGCUAUUUCCUUUUUUUUUAUUCCUUUAUUUUCUUUGUGGUAACAUAUUGAGGGUUUUGUAUUUUAAAUAAAUUUUGAUAGUAAAA